UACAGAGGGUGCGAGCGUUGUCCGGAAUUACUGGGCGUAAAGGGCGCGUAGGCGGCCCGGUGCGCGUGCCGUGAAAGCCCGGGGCUCAACCCCGGGUCGGCGGUGGGGACGGCCGAGCUGGAGCCCAUCAGAGGCAGGCGGAAUUCCGGGUGUAGCGGUGGAAUGCGUAGAGAUCCGGAAGAACACCGGUGGCGAAGGCGGCCUGCUGGGGUGUGGCUGACGCUGAGGUGCGAAAGCGUGGGGAGCAAACAGG
rnacentral:rRNA from 1 species